rnacentral:rRNA from 1 species
CGUGUAGGCGGUUUGGUAAGUCUGAUGUGAAAGCCCCGGGCUCAACCCGGGAAGUGCAUUGGAAACUGUCAGACUUGAAUACGGGAGAGGGUAGUGGAAUUCCUGGUGUAGGAGUGAAAUCCGUAGAUAUCAGGAGGAACACCGGUGGCGAAGGCGGCUGCCUGGACCGAUAUUGACGCUGAGACGCGAAAGCGUGGGUAGCAAACAGGAUUAGAUACCCUGGUAGUCCACGCCGUAAACGAUGAGUACUAGGUGUUGCGGGUGUUGACCCCUGCAGUGCCGCAGCUAACGCAUUAAGUACUCCGCCUGGGAAGUACGGUCGCAAGACUAAA